AGAGUUUGAUCCUGGCUCAGGACGAACGCUGGCGGCGCGCCUAACACAUGCAAGUCGAACGAGAGAUGAGGAGCUUGCUCUUCAGAUCGAGUGGCGAACGGGUGAGUAACGCGUGAGGAACCUGCCUCAAAGAGGGGGACAACAGUUGGAAACGACUGCUAAUACCGCAUAAGCCCACGGCUCGGCAUCGAGCAGAGGGAAAAGGAGUGAUCCGCUUUGAGAUGGCCUCGCGUCCGAUUAGCUAGUUGGUGAGGUAACGGCCCACCAAGGCGACGAUCGGUAGCCGGACUGAGAGGUUGAACGGCCACAUUGGGACUGAGACACGGCCCAGACUCCUACGGGAGGCAGCAGUGGGGAAUAUUGCACAAUGGGGGAAACCCUGAUGCAGCGACGCCGCGUGGAGGAAGAAGGUCUUCGGAUUGUAAACUCCUGUUGUUGAGGAAGAUAAUGACGGUACUCAACAAGGAAGUGACGGCUAACUACGUGCCAGCAGCCGCGGUAAAACGUAGGUCACAAGCGUUGUCCGGAAUUACUGGGUGUAAAGGGAGCGCAGGCGGGAGAACAAGUUGGAAGUGAAAUCCAUGGGCUCAACCCAUGAACUGCUUUCAAAACUGUUUUUCUUGAGUAGUGCAGAGGUAGGCGGAAUUCCCGGUGUAGCGGUGGAAUGCGUAGAUAUCGGGAGGAACACCAGUGGCGAAGGCGGCCUACUGGGCACCAACUGACGCUGAGGCUCGAAAGUGUGGGUAGCAAACAGGAUUAGAUACCCUGGUAGUCCACACCGUAAACGAUGAUUACUAGGUGUUGGAGGAUUGACCCCUUCAGUGCCGCAGUUAACACAAUAAGUAAUCCACCUGGGGAGUACGACCGCAAGGUUGAAACUCAAAGGAAUUGACGGGGGCCC
rnacentral:rRNA from 1 species